GACGAACGCUGGCGGCGUGCCUAAUACAUGCAAGUCGAACGAACUCUGGUAUUGAUUGGUGCUUGCAUCAUGAUUUACAUUUGAGUGAGUGGCGAACUGGUGAGUAACACGUGGGAAACCUGCCCAGAAGCGGGGGAUAACACCUGGAAACAGAUGCUAAUACCGCAUAACAACUUGGACCGCAUGGUCCGAGUUUGAAAGAUGGCUUCGGCUAUCACUUUUGGAUGGUCCCGCGGCGUAUUAGCUAGAUGGUGGGGUAACGGCUCACCAUGGCAAUGAUACGUAGCCGACCUGAGAGGGUAAUCGGCCACAUUGGGACUGAGACACGGCCCAAACUCCUACGGGAGGCAGCAGUAGGGAAUCUUCCACAAUGGACGAAAGUCUGAUGGAGCAACGCCGCGUGAGUGAAGAAGGGUUUCGGCUCGUAAAACUCUGUUGUUAAAGAAGAACAUAUCUGAGAGUAACUGUUCAGGUAUUGACGGUAUUUAACCAGAAAGCCACGGCUAACUACGUGCCAGCAGCCGCGGUAAUACGUAGGUGGCAAGCGUUGUCCGGAUUUAUUGGGCGUAAAGCGAGCGCAGGCGGUUUUUUAAGUCUGAUGUGAAAGCCUUCGGCUCAACCGAAGAAGUGCAUCGGAAACUGGGGAACUUGAGUGCAGAAGAGGACAGUGGAACUCCAUGUGUAGCGGUGAAAUGCGUAGAUAUAUGGAAGAACACCAGUGGCGAAGGCGGCUGUCUGGUCUGUAACUGACGCUGAGGCUUUAAAGUAUGUGUAGCAAACAGGAUUAGAUACCCUGGUAGUCCAUACCGUAAACGAUGAAUGCUAAGUGUUGGAAGGGUUUCCGCCCUUCAGUGCUGCAGCUAACGCAUUAAGCAUUCCGCCUGGGGAGUACGGCCGCAAGGCUGAAACUCAAAGGAAUUGACGGGGGCCCGCACAAGCGGUGGAGCAUGUGGUUUAAUUCGAAGCUACGCGAAGAACCUUACCAGGUCUUGACAUACUAUGCAAAUCUAAGAGAUUAGACGUUCCCUUCGGGGACAUGGAUACAGGUGGUGCAUGGUUGUCGUCAGCUCGUGUCGUGAGAUGUUGGGUUAAGUCCCGCAACGAGCGCAACCCUUAUCAUCAGUUGCCAGCAUUAAGUUGGGCUCUCUGGUGAGACUGCCGGUGACAAACCGGAGGAAGGUGGGGAUGACGUCAAAUCAUCAUGCCCCUUAUGACCUGGGCUACACACGUGCCACAAUGGAUGGUACAACGAGUUGCGAACUCGCGAGAGUAAGCUAAUCUCUUAAAGCCAUUCUCAGUUCGGAUUGUAGGCUGCAACUCGCCUACAUGAAGUCGGAAUCGCUAGUAAUCGCGGAUCAGCAUGCCGCGGUGAAUACGUUCCCGGGCCUUGUACACACCGCCCGUCACACCAUGAGAGUUUGUAACACCCAAAGUCGGUGGGGUAACCUUUUAGGAACCAGCCGCCUAAGGUGGGACAGAUGAUUAGGGUGAAGUCGUAACAAGGUAGCCGUAGGAGAACC
rnacentral:rRNA from 1 species